ACAACGACUCUCGGCAACGGAUAUCUCGGCUCUCGCAUCGAUGAAGAACGUAGCGAAAUGCGAUACUUGGUGUGAAUUGCAGAAUCCCGUGAACCAUCGAGUCUUUGAACGCAAGUUGCGCCCGAAGCCAUCAGGCCGAGGGCAYGUCUGCCUGGGCGUCACG
rnacentral:rRNA from 1 species